ensembl:snRNA U5 U5 spliceosomal RNA
AUACUCUGGUUUCUCUUCAGAUCACAUAAAUCUUUCACCUUUUACUAAAGAUUCCUGUGGAGAGGAGCAACUUUGAGUUUUUAGCUAAUUUUUUGAGGCUUUGAUUUAGCAAAACA